UCCUACGGGGGGCAGCAGUGAGGAAUAUUGGUCAAUGGGCGGGAGCCUGAACCAGCCAAGUCGCGUGAGGGAAGACGGUCCUACGGAUUGUAAACCUCUUUUGCCGGGGAGCAACGGGGUCCUUGCGAGGGCCCGAUGAGAGUACCCGGAGAAAAAGCAUCGGCUAACUCCGUGCCAGCAGCCGCGGUAAUACGGAGGAUGCGAGCGUUAUCCGGAUUUAUUGGGUUUAAAGGGUGCGUAGGCGGAUUGAUAAGUUAGAGGUGAAAUGUCCGAGCUUAACUCGGGAACUGCCUCUAAUACUGUUG
rnacentral:rRNA from 1 species